rnacentral:tRNA from 1 species
AGAUUUGCGUAUUUUACUUACUAUCCGGUUUCGGCCCGUAUAAUUGAGGUGAAAGACCUCACAAAUCUU